AGCAUUCUGCCUUGUUCGCGGUAAUAUAGUUAUUAUAUAAUCCAACACAUAUAUAAAGGGAAUCUAACUCUGUAUUGAGGAUUGCAGACCUCCCACUUUAAUAGUGGACGAAGGGAGCGUGAGACUUACAGGAGGAUACCCACCUGCUUAUUGCGGGUUUUAUAUGCUAUAUGGUCGGCAAGGCGGUUUAUUU
rnacentral:other from 1 species